UGGAUAUUAAGUAAACUUGAUUCAGUUUUGUCAAUUGAUAUUAGUUUAGUCUGCUCACCGUAUGUUUGUGAAUUGUUCUAACAGAAAGAAUACGCGUAUCUUUCUGUAUAAUCUUGGUACAUGGAAUUUUAUUCUAUAUCAUAAUAGAUUUAGGUUUGACAUGGUUAAGCCUUUUGGCUGUUGUACUGAUUUUAAUGCCUUCUUAGCCAUCAGUUGAGAGCUAGCAAAGAGUCGUAUGGUCUGUUGUUUUAACAGAAAAAAAUGAGCAUGUUUUGAUUUUAGGAGAAAACAUUGUUCUGUUCAAAGGUUUUGUUUUAAGUGAGAAAAGCUCACCCCUGAUUUGGUUUUGUAAUUAGUAAUUAUAUAUGUGCUUUUUGCAACUUAAGUUCUAUUGUUAGUUGGUGUUUUCUGGU
rnacentral:lncRNA from 1 species